rnacentral:tRNA from 1 species
GCCUCUGUGGCUUAGUUGGUAGAGCAUCGCCUUGGUAAGGCGGAGAUCGCGGGUUCAAAUCCCGUCAGAGGCU